rnacentral:tRNA from 1 species
GGUCGUGUGGCCUAAUGGAUAAAGCCUCGGACUAAGGAUUCGUAGACUGCAGGCUCGAGUCCUGCUACAAUCA